rnacentral:rRNA from 1 species
UUGUUCCYUGARGGRRARACUUCGGCAGGAACCAGCUACUAGMWRGYUCGAKYAGAKSYUUCKCCUYMURUWCUCCGGGUAUUGMCGAUSGRKUUGCACGUCAGAAUCGCUACGAGCCUCCACCAGAGUUUCCUCUGGCUUCACCCUAUUCAGGCAUAGUUCACCAUCUUUCGGGUCCCAACAUACAUGCUCUACCGCGGGGCCGUCAGAGAACGUCAAGCCCGGGCGUUGGUGCCCUCCACGACAGAGGUCUCAACUUUCACUUUCAUUACGCGCUCGGGUUUUCCACCCAAACACUCGCAGGUAUGUUAGACUCCUUGGUCCGUGUUUCAAGACGGGUCGUUUAAAGCCAUUAUGCCAGCAUCCUAAGCGCGAUAGUGGGCGAACCCCUGCCUUGCGGCGCGCUGCGUUCCUCGAUCCCAACCGCCGUGUGCGACUAGAGUCUAUAACACACCCGGAGGUGCCACAUUACUCUAGCCCUUGUCCAACGGUCAAAAUCGAUGCUGGCCCGUCAUUCGGAAAAUGCACCAAGCAAAAGCAAGGCUGAGUUCCGGACAACGCGACUGACUUCAAGCGUUUCCCUUUCAGCAAUUUCACGUACUGUUUAACUCUCUUUCCAAAGUGCUUUUCAUCUUUCCCUCACGGUACUUGUUCGCUAUCGGUCUCUCGCCAAUAUUUAGCUUUAGAUGGAAUUCACCACCCAUUUUGAGCUGCAUUCCCAAACAACUCGACUCUUUGAAAGCGCAUCACAAAGCACUGGUAGUCCGUGUCAAAGACGGGAUUCUCACCCUCUAUGACGCUCUGUUCCAAGAGACUUGUACACGGUCCAGCGCUGAAAGCACUUCUCCAGAUUACAACUCGGACGACGAAGCCGCCAGAUWUUAAAUUUGAGCUUYYCCCGCYUCACYCSCAGWWAMWASGGAAMKMMWUGYUMGUYYCYUUWCCUCCGCUUAUUGAUAUGCUUAAGUUUCAGCGGGGU